AUUGAACGCUGGCGGCAGGCCUAACACAUGCAAGUCGAACGAGUGGCGGACGGGUGAGUAAUGUCUGGGAAACUGCCUGAUGGAGGGGGAUAACUACUGGAACCGGUAGCUAAUACCUCAUACCAUCGGAUGUGCCCAGAUGGGAUUAGCUAGUAGGUGAGGUAAAGGCUCACCUAGGCGACGACCCCUAGCUGGUCUGAGAGGAUGACAAGAAAAAGUGGAACAGAGACACGGACGAGACUGCAAAAGGAGGGAGCAGUGAGGAAUAUUGACAUAAGGGCGCAAGCCUGAUUCAGCAAGGCAGCGUGUAUGAAGAAGGCAUUCGGGUUGUAAAGUACUUUCAGAGGGGAGGCGUUACCCGGAGAAGAAGCACCGGCUAACUCCGUGCCAGCCGACGCGGUAAUUC
rnacentral:rRNA from 1 species